UACGGGGGGGGCAAGCGUUGUUCGGAAUUACUGGGCGUAAAGGGCUCGUAGGCGGCCUUCUAAGUCGAACGUGAAAUCCCCGGGCUCAACCCGGGAACUGCGUCCGAUACUGGUGGGCUCGAAUCCGGGAGAGGGAUGUGGAAUUCCAGGUGUAGCGGUGAAAUGCGUAGAUAUCUGGAGGAACACCGGUGGCGAAGGCGGCAUCCUGGACCGGUAUUGACGCUGAGUGCGCGAAAGCCAGGGGAGUAAACGGG
rnacentral:rRNA from 1 species